rnacentral:rRNA from 1 species
CUUUACUGUAGCCUGGUAUUGGGUUCGGGCUCUUCUUGCGCAGCCUAGGUGGGAGGCGUUGAAAGCUUUCUUUUGGGGAAGCUGGAGCCAUCAGUGAGAGACCACUCUGGAGGAGCUAGAAUUCUAAUGGCGUUCCUUGAAGCAGGACGCUUGACAGUUUCAGGUGGGCAGUUUGACUGGGGCGGUCACCUCCUAAAAGGUAACGGAGGUGUGCAAAGGUUCCCUCAGGCUGGACGGAAAUCAGCCGGAGAGUGUAAAGGCAGAAGGGAGCUUGACUGCAAGACCUACAAGUCGAGCAGGGGCGAAAGCCGGCCUUAGUGAUCCGACGGUUCCAUGUGGAAGGGCCGUCGCUCAACGGAUAAAAGUUA